GGCGAGGCGCGCACGGCCCCAGGCGGCUGCGCCCAGUGGAGGCAGCGCCCGCCCGGCCGCCGCGCUUGGGCCUGGGCUCCUGCCGGCGCUCCUGGGGCCCCACGGUCUCUCAGCCUUGCUUCGAGGUUGCGGCCCCCAGUCCAGGUCACUCCCCCAGGCGCACGCGGCGUCGUCGGCGCCCCGGGCUCACCAUGGUGGCAACGCGCGCCGAGUGCCCGCGCGUCGCCAGCCGCCUGAGCCGCAGCGCGGGCUGAGAGCAGUCCGCUGAGGCCCCCCGCCCCUGCCUGUUCCCCGCUCGGCCCGCGCGUCCCCUCCGGCCGCCGCUGUCUAUGGCGCAGCCCCCCUCCCUGGAUCAUGCACAGAAACUUUCGCAAGUGGAUUUUUUACGUGUUUCUCUGCUUUGGCGUCCUCUACGUGAAGCUCGGAUGGAGAAACUGAGGCCGGUGGCUGCAGAGGCAGGGCUGGAAGGCCCCUGUCCCAGUCUCAGUUCUGCAGGCCCGGCUGGUUGUCUGCGGUUGCUGGUGGCUCUGUUUAUUCAUUAGGAUACCCAGCAAGGGAGGCCAAGUCACUUGUCCACAGAAGUAAGUGGCGGAGCCAGGACUGGAGUUGGCUCUGACCUCCACCAGUGACCACUCUUCUAGCACCAUCUGAAAGCAGCCGCCCUCCCCCACCCCCAGCUUGUAGGAAGAGCUCUAUGAACCACCCUCACCACCUCACCACCACGCAGCACAAGGACCUGAAGCUGGUGCCUAACCCAGGCUCCUAGGGCUGAUUCCAGGGCUUGGAGGUCAACGUGACUGGGCAGUACCCCCACCCCACCCCAUGAGCCUCCCGUUCCCCUCUGUAAAUGGGACUGCUGCUCUGGCCAUCCUGAAAAGGAUGGUGGCCAGUGCCUGAGUAGGAAGAGCCCAGGGAGUGAGGCAGUCUGUGCGCCCAUGCACCUGUGCCAGCCUCUCGGAAUGCAUAAGAGAGCCAGGCAGUGCCUUGGCUCUGCCCUCUGCCUCCACCAAGGAGCCCUGGAGGGGGUACUCCUCCCCCUGGUGUACCCCAUAAAGUGCAUACUCUCACUCCUGGGGAGAGAGGAGAAAACGAGAUCUCCACAAACACCCCUGUGGAACCACAUCCAGGAAACCUGAGAACCACUGGGAUCUGCUAAGGGGGGGGGUUCAGCCCCUGCCCACCCCUGUGGGAGUGAAGGGGCCUGCUUUCUUUGCAAGCCAUCUUGGCUGUCCAAGGUGGGGAAGAGGGGGCAGCGGGGCCCGGAUGUGACCCAAGGGGUUAAAUGACC